GGUUUCCGUAGGUGAACCUGCGGAAGGAUCAUUGCCGUCGCCUCAAAUCCAGAGAGACCCGCGAACGCGUUUCACCACCCGGGGAAGUCGAAGCAGCUCGCUGCCCGCCUUCCCCAAGCGCCGGGCCCGAGCCACCCGCCGCGGUCUCGUCGUCCCGGCGCCGCAACAACAACCCCCGGCGCGGAAUGCGCCAAGGAAGCAAAAAUCGUACAGCGCCCCCCGUCGGCCCGGGAACGGUGCCCGCACUGGCGGCGGCGCAACACUCGAGUCCAAAACGACUCUCGGCAACGGAUAUCUCGGCUCUUGCAUCGAUGAAGAACGUAGCGAAAUGCGAUACUUGGUGUGAAUUGCAGAAUCCCGUGAACCAUCGAGUCUUUGAACGCAAGUUGCGCCCGAAGCCAUCAGGCCGAGGGCACGCCUGCCUGGGUGUCACUAAUCGCCGCCCCAACCCCUGUGCCUCUGGCCACGGAGCGGGGCGAAUGCUGGCUUCCCGUGAGCGCCGCCUCGCGGUUGGUUGAAAAUCGGGUUCGUGGUGGACACAGCGCCAUGACAGACGGUGGCUGAUCGAGCUCUCGAGGCCAGUCAUGCGUGCGGCCUCCACCAUCUCCGCGCCCGGCGACCCGCGAGCGACACCGAUCGCCCAUUGACGCGACCUCAGGUCAGGCGGGGCUACCCGCUGAGUUUAAGCAUAUCA
rnacentral:misc_RNA from 1 species